UACCAAAUGCCAGACAUUCUUCUAAGUGCUUUAUAUAUUAGCUUUUAGCUUUUUUAUUACUCUAAACAUCAUUAUCAGGAAGGCACUAUGACUAUUCCCAUUUUGCAAUACAGGGUGAGGCUGAAUAGCUGGUCCAAAGUCUCCCAGCUGGCACGUGGUGAGGCUGUGCUCUUAAUCUACGCUCUCAAUUUCAGGAAGGAAGGAAGCGCUUUCCUGCCCAAUGCCUCGCAUGUAGAUCACCCUCAACGACUGCUGGAUGGACGUUUGAAGGUCAGAGAUCACUGUAUGAAGUGCUUCCCAUAAGCAGCUCAUUUAAAGACCCAAAACCAAUUUUAAUGCUAAAUGGGAAGUUUUUGCUGUGAUGAAGGCCCAGGUUGCCAUUAGGAUUGAUUCAUAAGGACAGCAGAGGCACCCCUCUGCUGACCCGGGUGUGCUCAGAAGCAAAGGGCUUCUUGGGAACCGACCUGCGCUCUACCCUGCCAGACCCGGAGCCUGCAAUUCUCACAGGGCGCACUGCACUGUCAGGCAACAGGCAGAACAGCAGAAAUACUUCCCUGAGCU